rnacentral:rRNA from 1 species
UACAGGGGGGGCAAGCGUUGUUCGGAAUUACUGGGCGUAAAGGGCUCGUAGGCGGCCAACUAAGUCGGAUGUGAAAUCCCCAGGCUCAACCUGGGAACUGCAUCCGAUACUGGAUGGCUUGAAUUCGGGAGAGGGAUGCAGAAUUCCAGGUGUAGCGGUGAAAUGCGUAGAUAUCUGGAGGAAUACCGGUGGCGAAGGCGGCAUCCUGGACCGACAUUGACGCUGAGGAGCGAAAGCUAGGGGAGCAAACGGG